UUUAUCUUUGAAACAGCAUAUGACUACUGGCAGGAUCAACCAGGUAGCAUCCAUUGACGACGUCCAUGCCGUCGCGUGGGACAUGAAGUGACAUGAUGAGUUCCCCAGCGAGUCGUUCGAUUGAAUUUGCUACAUUGGAGCCAUGCCAUGAGGCCACAAGAGGCUUUUACACCCGCAUGCCAUUGAUACGUUCCGCAUCCCAGAGAUCGAAUUAGCACCCCAUGGACCAUCGCCACCAUUCUACGAAUGAGGAUGGCAAGCGUGGGUCAUGGAGGCAACUUUCUUGUCCGUCCGCUGCACACCUUUUGGUCGCAGCCGACGGAUGAAACGAUAGCAUGACACUGAGUUCCGCAAACGCGGUACACAGCACAGGAACCAGCAAGCGUUCCACGCAUCAAGAGCAUGGGACAUGCAAUGAGGAGUUGCUGAGCCAGCCCGCCUGUGCGCAGAAC
rnacentral:misc_RNA from 1 species